UACGUAGGGUGCAAGCGUUGUCCGGAAUUAUUGGGCGUAAAGAGCUCGUAGGCGGUUUGUCGCGUCUGCUGUGAAAAACUCGGGGGCUUAACCCCGGGCCUGCAGUGGGUACGGGCAGACUAGAGUGCGGUAGGGGAGACUGGAAUUCCUGGUGUAGCGGUGAAAUGCGCAGAUAUCAGGAGGAACACCGGUGGCGAAGGCGGGUCUCUGGGCAGUAACUGACGCUGAGGAGCGAAAGCGUGGGGAGCGAACAGG
rnacentral:rRNA from 1 species